rfam:Sphingopyxis sp. 113P3, complete genome.
UAUGCGGGCCGGGCCCCUCUGGCGCCUUCGCGACUUUUUGUUGCGGGCGUGAUGUCGGACCGCAUCG